rnacentral:rRNA from 1 species
UGGGGAAUAUUGGACAAUGGGCGCAAGCCUGAUCCAGCGACGCCGCGUGUGUGAAGAAGGCCUGCGGGUUGUAAAGCACUUUCGAUGGGAACGAAAUGCGCCGGGUUAAUACCCCGGUAAGCUGACGUUACUCAAUGAAGAAGCACCGGCUAACUCUGUGCCAGCAGCCGCGGUAAUACAGAGGGUGCGAGCGUUAAUCGGAAUUACUGGGCGUAAAGCGCACGUAGGUGGCGACGUAAGUCGGGUGUGAAAGCCCCGGGCUCAACCUGGGAAUUGCAUUCGAGACUGCAUUGCUAGAGUGCAGAAGGGGCAAUCGGAAUUCUUGGUGUAGCGGUGAAAUGCGUAGAUAUCAAGAGGAACACCUGAGGCGAAGGCGGGUUGCUGGGCUGAUACUGACGCUGAGGCGCGAAAGCUAGGGUAGCAAACGGGAUUAGAUACCCCAGUAGUCCCUGAGCGGGCUGGCAAGGCGCAU